UUGGCCGCUGUGUUGACACGCUCUGCACCUUGCUCCUGCCCUUGCCUUUCACUCUUCUUAUCCCCCUGAUAGCCUGAUCACUCCUGACAGCUGCUGAGUGCCUGGAUUUCAUCAUCCAGCCCUGCAGCAUGCUCCCCUUUGUUCUGAGGAAGGCUCUCCCAGACAGAGAGGAGGAGAUGGAGGUGGAUACAAAGAUUGAUAUGGAGGAGCAGAUGGAAAUAGACGGAGAAGACCCUGGAGAGGAAGAGAUGGAUGUGGAUGUGGAUGUGGAUGAGGAAGAAGAGAUGGAUUUGGAUAUGGAAGAGUCCAUUAUGGACAUGGAUAUUGAUUAAAAUGGUGCGAUGGACAGCACAGACAGAGACACCAACCUUUGUAUAUAUGUUCUACAGUUUGUUGUUGUUCUUUAGAAUGUAGAUUGUAGGGCUAUUUUUGACUUCUGUAAAUACAUAGUUUUGUUAGGUAGGUUUUGUUAGGUAGGUUUUUAUGUAUAUAUGUUCUAUCUAUUGUUGUUGUUACCAAU